UGGCUCAGAACGAACGCUGGCGGCGUGCUUAACACAUGCAAGUCGAGCGGAAAGGCCCUUCGGGGUACUCGAGCGGCGAACGGGUGAGUAACACGUGAGCAACCUGCCCCUAGCUCUGGGAUAGCUCCGGGAAACCGGGAUUAAUACCAGAUACGACCACUUUAGACAUCUGCUGUGGUGGAAAGGAUUCCGGCUAGGGAUGGGCUCGCGGCCUAUCAGCUUGUUGGUGGGGUAACGGCCUACCAAGGCGACGACAAGUAGCCGGCCUGAGAGGGCGACCGGCCACACUGGGACUUAUUCUCGGCCCANAGACCUACGGGAGGCAGC
rnacentral:rRNA from 1 species